rnacentral:rRNA from 1 species
AUUGAACGCUGGCGGCAUGCUUUACACAUGCAAGUCGAACGGUAGAGGGGCAACCCUUGAGAGUGGCGAACGGGUGAGUAAUGCAUCGGAACGUGCCCAGUAGUGGGGGAUAGCCCGGCGAAAGCCGGAUUAAUACCGCAUGAGACCUGAGGGUGAAAGCGGGGGACUCGAAAGGGCCUCGCGCUAUUGGAGCGGCCGAUGUCAGAUUAGCUAGUUGGUGGGGUAAAGGCCUACCAAGGCGACGAUCUGUAGCUGGUCUGAGAGGACGACCGGCCACACUGGGACUGAGACACGGCACAGACUCCUACGGGAGGCAGCAGUGGGGAAUUUUGGACAAUGGGCGCAAGCCUGAUCCAGCCAUGCCGCGUGCGGGAAGAAGGCCUUCGGGUUGUAAACCGCUUUUGUCAGGGAAGAAAUCUUCUGGGUUAAUACCCUGGGAGGAUGACGGUACCUGAAGAAUAAGCACCGGCUAACUACGUGCCAGCCGCCGCAGUAAGAC